rnacentral:lncRNA from 1 species
UUUUUUUUUUUUUUUUUUUCUUAGCUAGGGAAGUGUUCCAGCUCUACUUAGAAAGAUGAGGGAAGGAUGCCUUUAGCAGACAGACUUCAGACCUACCUGAAGACUUGCUGCUUAGAAGUCUGCCCCUGAACACUGGGCAGGAAUAAACAUGUUCCACUUCUUAGUAACUCCUAGCUGGUGGACAGUGACUUCUUUUCCUUUUCUGUCCCUGGAGGACCUCUGGGACUUGUCUCCAUUGGUAGCUCUUUAACCAGCUGCUCAGUGGCUUGCAUGCCUCUGGUCCUGUGUGCAAUAUCUUUGCCUGGCACUUGUAUCUAACAUUGAAAAAUAGGUGCAGACUGCAAAUGUCCUACUGUUCUCUACUCCAACGAGCCAACCCCCAGGCAGGGACUAGAGGUCUGGCUGCUCUUCUCUUACCCUCCACUCAGAAGGCUCCACUGCUGUGGCCAGCUGUGGCCCUCUCGUUCCCUGCUUUACCAGUCUACCCACCUAUCUCCUUUAAGAUGGCCUAGCAUGUCAGCUGCAGUCCAAAAGUAAGUAGACAAAGCCUCAUGUUAAGUAGACAGUCAGGGUGGACUGGCCCUGUUAGCAGUGUUGGAGUCAGAUUCCAGUGGAACAAAGGGGUUUCUCAAUGUCUUUUGCUUUCAGAAGCAGGGAAUUCAUAUUCCCUUUAAGGCCUUGAAUGGAUUUUUUUUCCUCAUAAAAUAGUCACUGAUAAGCUAAUUUUUAAAAAGAAAUGCCAUUACGUAUGUUACAUUGUGGUUUAAAAUUACUAACAAGUUCUGGGAAAGAAAAUACUUGAUUUUGAAUCUUAAAUGUUUUUUAAAAAUUAGAUUUGAAUGGGCGCAAAGUACAAAUAUUUUGUUUCUUUAUGGAAGACCUGUGGAAAGGGUUUGAAGAUUUGCAAUGGGAGAAUUAUUUUGCAGAGCUAUCAAUGUCUAAAUAAUUUUUGAAAAAAAAAAACCAAUAAAGGUAUUUAAGCAGUGUGUGUCCAAUUUGUAAGUCAAAACAUUCCACUAGGAGAAAUCUGUUCCUUUGUGACUGGAGCAGGAACCAGCAGGUCAAGCCUAGGUUUAAUCAGGUGAAUGGCUGGGCCGUGUGCUGCUUCAGCAGCAGGUGUACUGAGCCAAGUUGAGGAGUCGCAGCUAUCAGAUCGGUAUGGAUGCCACAGUGUUGGGUGUGGGUCAGGUGAGGGAAAACACCCUUUCUUCCAUCUAGCGUAGCUUAUAAGUUCUUGCCUUGAUUUCUCUCAUAGAUUUGGUGGUAUGUAUGAGUGUUUUGCCUGCAUUGUGUCUGUAUACUAUGUAGUCCCUAGUGUCCACAGACACCAGAAGAGGGUUUUUGGAUUCCUCUCAAAAUGGAAUCUCCUUUCACUGGUGGUUGUGAAAGGCCAUGUAGGUGCUGGCAAUCAAACCUGGGGUCUCUACAAGUGCAAGUACUUUUAACUGCUAAGCAGUCUUUCCAAACCCCUCAUAAAUCUCUCAUAUGCCUGUAUGCCACUACCAUUUGAAUUCUCCCCAGUAAACUUACAGGGUGGCUUCUAUAAUAAGUUUUAUUCCCAGGAAUAUCUCAUUAAUCUGUGCCAGAGAGGUGGUGCUGUUUUGGGGUCCACUUAAAGGCUGCAGUCCUCCCUCAUAAAAGAGUCAAAAGCUUCUUGUAAAAUUAUUUUCUAGGGUUCUACCCAGCCUAAAAAUUGUUUUAUAUGGUGGGAGUAACUUGGAAUAAUGUCUUUACAGACUGAGGUGCCUGGCAGUGCUCAGCCAGCCACUCUACCUUUUGUCUUCUUUCCAUUUUGUUAGAAAUGAACUUCCUAGCUGGGCAAUGGUGGCGCAUGCCUUGAAUCCCAGCACUUGGGAGGCAGAGGCAGGCAGAUUUCUGAGUUCAAGGUCAGCCUGGUCUACAGAGUGAGUUCCAGGACAGCCAGGGCUACACAGAGAAAUCCUGUCUGGAAAGACAAACAAACAAAAGUAAUGAACUUCCUUAGAAAUCUGGAAGGAAUUUCUUGGCACACCAGUAUUGAGAUGGCAAGAGAUGAGCCAUUAUGUGAUGGUGUUGGUGUUAGGCCAGCUGAUAGAAUCGAGCACGAAUUCCCUUCACAGCACGAAGGGAAUCUCAUAGCCCUAAAGCCUGGGUGCUUGGGCUGAUUGCAGGCCUGUCCUAGUGUGCUGAACUGGGUGUAAGCAGCAGGCUGUGGGCCUGUCACACCCCACCUCAGUCUGUAAGUUAAGGACACUCAGUCUUAUCCCAUUAGGCUGUGUCAAGGGCUUCUGCCAGAACAUUGGAGUUCCUGGGAAAUGGUCUCAAAUGUUGAAGAGACUUUAAAUUUAAACUGGAGUGCCAAAGAAAUACAUCCUUGGUCAGCCUGGGCCACAAAAUAAGAUCCCCUUCUCUAAAAUAAAGUUAUAGAAAAUAUUUCCUGGGUUUCUGGGUGCCAGGGUCUGCACUGAAAGAAGGCAGAAGUUGAGUCCGAGUCAGUGCUAUUUGUGUGUCUCGGUAACAUUUGCCAGUCACCCAUUGCAGAAGCAGUUUUUUUAGAAAAUUGGUAACAGAUGAAAAGGUUUCAGAGAAUUGGGUCAUUGACAGCAGUGUCGUUUCUGACUGGAAUUCGAGCUGCCUAAGUAAUCAUGGCAUGAGCACAACCCGUAAGACAUUACAAGAGAAGACUUUGCCACAUUCGAUUAUAUACUAUAUAGGGGUGAAAGCAGUCUGAGAGAUCUGAAUAGAAAAAGGAAUCAAGUUAAAAACUGCAAAGCUAAAGUUGAGCUACUUGGGAGCCAUGAGCCACAGAAACAACUCAUUAUUGAAGUUCCCUAUUAUGGCAACGACUCUGACUUUGAGGUGCUGUACCAGCAAUGCCUUAGGUGCUACAAGGCCUUCCUGGAGAAUAUUCACUAGCUGGUCCUACCCACCAGCCACUAUUGCGCAAAUCACACUGCUAUGCACACAGGUGGUGGCAGUCCUUAGCCCCUUACCCCAUCUGUCUUUUCAGCUGACUUACUGUAUAUCUUUAAAAUAAUUGUAGGUGGAAAUUAGGUAUAUGUUCAGAAGGAUAAAAACACUUGAGUCAGACAGUUUGAAGUGUGGCUAAGCAUUCUUAGACUAACUAAAUACAUCUGACUUUACUGUAAUUACAAAGUAGUGGAAUUAGCAAAUUUGGAACAAAAUAAAAACACAAUAUAGUAAGAAUGAAGAAGGUCCAGGUCAGCCUCUGAGCCCAGCAAGCCUGGGUAGUCUCGUCUAUCCUGAGUAUGUGCAUGGCCAGCAGCCAGUGUGCCGUUUGCUUGCCUUAUGCCUCUCUAUUCUAGACUCUUAUUAUGACAAUAUCACCAUCCACAGCAGCCUUCCAUUUAACAUUGAAAGAGUUUGAGCUCAGACACGCCGAGAGUAUUCAGGUAUUUGAGAGAGGAGAAGCCAGAUGUAAUGAUGGGCCUGAGACUCCAGCAGGCCGUCCUGGGCUGGACAGGGACAUUCUGUCUAAAAUGUGAACAAAAAUAACAACGGAUGGGAGCAACAGAUUGAUGCAAUUAACAUUUUCAGUCUUACUUGGUUUUUUGUCUAGAUUUUUUAGUGUUGUUUCUAUUUGAGCUACUUUGCCUUUAAAAAAAAAAAAAGGAAGAAGCUGGGCGUGGUUGCACACACCUUUAAUCCCAGCACUUGGGAGGCAGAGGCAGGCGGAUUUCUGAGUUCUAGGCCAGCCUGGUCUACAAAGUGAGUUCCAGGACAGCCAGGGCUAUACAAAGAAACCUUGUCUCGAAAAACCGAAAGGAAGGAAGGAAGGAAGGGAAGG